rnacentral:rRNA from 1 species
GACGAACGCUGGCGGCGUGCUUAACACAUGCAAGUCGAACGCUGAAGCCCUUCGGGGUGGAUGAGUGGCGAACGGGUGAGUAACACGUGGGUAAUCUGCCCUGCACUCUGGGAUAAGCCUUGGAAACGGGGUCUAAUACCGGAUAGGACACAUCGCCGGCUGGUGGGUGCGUGGAAAGUUCCGGCGGUGCAGGUUGAGCCCGCGGCCUAUCAGCUUGUUGGUGGGGUGAUGGCCUACCAAGGCGACGACGGGUAGCCGGCCUGAGAGGGUGACCGGCCACACUGGGACUGAGACACGGCCCAGACUCCUACGGGAGGCAGCAGUGGGGAAUCUUGCGCAAUGGGCGAAAGCCUGACGCAGCAACGCCGCGUGGGGGAUGACGGCCUUCGGGUUGUAAACCUCUUUCGACCGGGACGAAGGAUUCGUUUGACGGUACCGGUAGAAGAAGCACCGGCUAACUACGUGCCAGCCGCCGCAGUAA